ensembl:misc_RNA
CUUCUAGCUCGGCAGGGCACAGGAUCCCUGGGGCCUCAACUCCUUAUCCGUCUGGGACUGCUCCUCUGCAUCGGGGCAGUGAGCCCUGUCUCUCCUCAGGGUCCUGGCUCUCUACCUCCAGGCCCU